rnacentral:rRNA from 1 species
CCUACGGGUGGCAGCAGUGAGGAAUAUUGGUCAAUGGCCGAGAGGCUGAACCAGCCAAGUCGCGUGAGGGAAGACGGCCCUACGGGUUGUAAACCUCUUUUGUCGGGGAGCAAAGCGAACCACGUGUGGUUCAUUGAGAGUACCCGAAGAAAACGCAUCGGCUAACUCCGUGCCAGCAGCCGCGGUAAUACGGAGGAUGCGAGCGUUAUCCGGAUUUAUUGGGUUUAAAGGGUGCGCAGGCGGAGGUGCAAGUCAGCGGUCAAAUUGCGGGGCUCAACCCCGUACUGCCGUUGAAACUGCAUCCCUUGAGUGCGCGAGAAGUAUGCGGAAUGCGCAGUGUAGCGGUGAAAUGCUUAGAUAUUGCGCAGAACUCCGAUUGCGAAGGCAGCAUACCGGCGGCGAUCUGACGCUGAGGCACGAAAGCGUGGGUAUCGAACAGGAUUAGAUACCCGGGUAGUC